AGGGGUAUGGCUCAGUGGUAAAGCUUUUGUCUACCAUGUGCAAGGCCCUAGGUUCAAUCCCUAGUAUUGUUG
rnacentral:tRNA from 1 species